rnacentral:rRNA from 2 species
GGUAAUUCUGGAGCUAAUACAUGCAUAAAAGAUAUAACAUUUUAUGUUAUAUUGCGUAUAUUAGUAUUAAAACCAAGCAUUCUUCGGAAUGUUUUGUGUUGAAACUGAAUAUAUCAUGCUAAUCGUAUGGUCUUGUACCGACGAUAUGUCAUUCAAGUGUCUGAUCUAUCAACUUUCUAUAUAAGUAUAUAGUACUUAUAUGGUUUUGACGGAUAACGGGGUAUUAGGGUACGACUCCGGAGAAAAUGCCUGAGAAACGGCGUUUACAUCCAAGGAAGGCAGCAGGCGCGAAAAUUACCCACUCUCAGUACGAGGAGGUAGUGACGAGAAAUGACAAGAUCUAUUCCUUCGGGGAUGGAUCAUUGGAAUGGUUUGAUUUUAAAAUCAUUAAAGAGUAUCAAUGAGAGGGCAA